rnacentral:lncRNA from 1 species
AGAAAUAAAGAGACAUCAGCCAUCUGACACUGCUGAAAUGAGAAAUCAUCACCAGCAUCUGUCCACCUCUGUCUUGUUACACAUGACAAACGCUUAUUUGCUUCAGCCACUGUUAAUAAGCAAAACUCUCUCUCUGAACGAGGAUCGCAGGGACUGCAGGUUCCUAACGGCCACUUCCGACUUCCCCUGCUGCAAAAUCUCCUUAAAACACAAUGUGCUAAAUUAUUAAGCCAACCUGCAAGGUGUGUUGGAGGAAUACCAAGUGUCCCUUUAGCUUCUCCACCCCCUACCCCAGCCUCUUCCUUGGGUAUGCUAUCUGAUUACUCUGCCGUCAAGUAUAAUCAAAUUCAAAUCUAACCG